AGAUUGAACGCUGGCGGCAUGCCUUACACAUGCAAGUCGAACGGCAGCACGGGAGCAAUCCUGGUGGCGAGUGGCGAACGGGUGAGUAAUAUAUCGGAACGUGCCCAGUCGUGGGGGAUAACGCAGCGAAGCUGUGCUAAUACCGCAUACGAUCUAUGGAUGAAAGCGGGGGAUCGCAAGACCUCGCGCGAUUGGAGCGGCCGAUAUCAGAUUAGCUAGUUGGUAGGGGUAAAAGCCUACCAAGGCGACGAUCUGUAGCUGGUCUGAGAGGACGACCAGCCACACUGGAACUGAGACA
rnacentral:rRNA from 1 species